rnacentral:rRNA from 1 species
AUUGAACGCUGGCGGCAGGCCUAAUACAUGCAAGUCGAGCGAGCGGCGGACGGGUGAGUAACGUAUGGGGACUUCCCGAUAGAGGGGGAAAACUACUGGAAACGGUGGCCAAUUCCGCAUUUUAUUGGAUAACUCAUAUGGGACUAGCUAGUGGGUAAGGUAAUGGCUGACAUAGGCGACGAUCCCUAGCUGGUCUGAGAGGAUGAUCAGCCACACUGGGACGGAGACACGGCCCAGACUCCUACGGAGGCAGCAGUGGGGAAUAUUGCACAAUGGGCGAAAGCCUGAUGCAGCCAUGCCGCGUGUAUGAAGAAGGCCCUAGGGUUGUAAAGUACUUUCAGUCGGGAGGCGUUACCGACAGAAGAAGCACCGGCUAACUCCGUGCCAGCAGCCGCGGUAAUAC